CAGCCGCCCUCCCCUUUUUUAGAUUUCUUCCUUCGAUUUUUCCUCUGGGUUUCAGACCUUAGUGCGCCCGACUCCGGCAUGUUGCCAUCAUAGCGCCGCCGUGACUCCGCCGUGAGCGGCGGUCGGAGCCACGCGAAAUCUACCCCCUUUUUAACGGUUUUAAAAAAAUUAGAAGGUCAAGCCUCCUAGGCCUCAACGGCCGAAAGAAAAGAAAACCUCACGCCCUCACGCGGCCCAACCUCAGCGACGAGGAAGAGGAUUCCGGCGACGAGACCCACGGGCGAACCUAGGUACAUGGCGAAGUUCACGGCUUUUUGCCAUUUUGGUGCAAGGCUGGCGACAGAUUAGGUGUACGGCAGCACAUGGAGGGCAAAGGGCUGCGGCGCCCUAGGAUACUCUGGAGGCUAGGGUUUCCCGAAAAUUUUAAGGUUUUUGGGCUUAUCGGGCCCUGGGGUAGUGAGUUUAAGUCUGCUGGGCUUGUAAUGUUUAUUUUGUUUAGUACUUGGGCCCGGGCAAAGAAAAUUGGGCUUUACAGCAUGAACAAAAAUUGUAACGAACCGAAAGUUAGUGGUGUCAAAAAUCUAAUUUCGAUACUCCAUCUCUGUAAACAGAGUUUGUAAAUAUUUUUAUUAAAUAUUUAUGGAGUUAUUUUAGAAGUGAA